AGAGUUUGAUCCUGGCUCAGAGCGAACGCUGGCGGCAGGCUUAACACAUGCAAGUCGAGCGGGCGUAGCAAUACGUCAGCGGCAGACGGGUGAGUAACGCGUGGGAACGUACCUUUUGGUUCGGAACAACACAGGGAAACCUGUGCUAAUACCGGAUAAGCCCUUACGGGGAAAGAUUUAUCGCCGAAAGAUCGGCCCGCGUCUGAUUAGCUAGUUGGUGAGGUAACGGCUCACCAAGGCGACGAUCAGUAGCUGGUCUGAGAGGAUGAUCAGCCACAUUGGGACUGAGACACGGCCCAAACUCCUACGGGAGGCAGCAGUGGGGAAUAUUGGACAAUGGGGGCAACCCUGAUCCAGCCAUGCCGCGUGAGUGAUGAAGGCCCUAGGGUUGUAAAGCUCUUUUGUGCGGGAAGAUAAUGACGGUACCGCAAGAAUAAGCCCCGGCUAACUUCGUGCCAGCAGCCGCGGUAAU
rnacentral:rRNA from 1 species